rnacentral:lncRNA from 1 species
GAAUGAGAACUAUUUUAUAGUGUUCCUUGAGGGAAAUUUGAAAAAUAGUACUAUUCAUGUUACAGCCUUUUAUUUUUUAAAAACUACUUUUCAAAAAUUAUAAUUAUGUUCACGGUCAAGCUUUGAUUCCUUAAAAGAUACUGUAAGUAGCAUAUAUGUCAGUGCCAGGGGUGAAGAGAGCUGAGGCAGCUCAGUAGUCAUGUCCUUUGUCGGGGAAGUGCUACUACUAAAGGGAGUGUAGUGGGGUAAAUCGGACUGGUGAACAAAGCCGCUUGUCUGCUUCCCCAGUCAGCUCUGCCCCACUCCCUGAGCUGACACUGCCUGCACCUACUGCACCAGGAAGGCCUCCUUUAUGUUUGCUGAUUGUCUUUGUUGACCCCUGCAUUUGGGGCCGUGACUUUUCUGUGCUGACUUUUACCCUCAUACUAAACAUUGCUGUUACCACAAACAGACACUGGUGACCAUCCACUGUGCUGUGGUAUACAGUGACAGUGACCACUUCUACUUGUGAUGUUAGCUUCCGUGAAACCGUUUUCUAGUUUCUGGGUUGUGAAAAAGUAUCUCACAGACAAAAAAAAAAAAAAA